rnacentral:rRNA from 1 species
UACGAAGGGUGCAAGCGUUAAUCGAAGAUUACUGGGCGUAAAGCGCGCGUAGGUGGUUCGUUAAGUUGGAUGUGAAAGACCCCGGCUCAACUGGGGAGGGUCGUGCGAUACGGUCGGACUGGAGGCCAGUAGGGGGAUGCGGAAUUCCGGGUGUAGUGGUGGAAUGCGCAGAUAUCGGGAGGAACACCAAUGGCGAAGGCAGCUCGCUGGGACGGUACUGACGCUGAGACGCGAAAGCGUGGGGAGCAAACAGGG